GACGAACCGAGCGAACGUUGUUCGGAAUCACUGGGCUUAAAGGGCGCGUAGGCGGGCUGUCAAGUCUGGGGGGAAAUCCCGCGGCUCAACCGUGGAACUGCCUUAGAUACUGACGGCCUCGAGGGAGGUAGGGGCGAGCGGAACUGUGAGUGGAGCGGUGAAAUGCGUUGAUAUUCACAGGAACUCCGGUGGCGAAGGCGGCUCGCUGGACCUUUUCUGACGCUGAGGCGCGAAAGCUAGGGGAGCAAACGGG
rnacentral:rRNA from 1 species